GGUGGAGAGUUCCAAAGGGAUCGCAUUGAUCUAAUUCUUGUAGAUGUUUACACUUGCAAGCUUUGCAUGCAAUUCCUGGAUUCAGAUGUGAUUCAGUGGUUCACUUAUUGGAUCAUGCGAUCCCUUAGGAACUUUCCAUCA
rnacentral:miRNA from 11 species